CCUCAUAAUCAUAUUGUGCUUUUGACACAACAAACGCAACAGUAAUAAUGUUAACUAAUAUUGUUGACAUUGCUUGCUUGUAUCAUUUCAAUUGUGCCUUCUCACCUGUGCAGCAAGGCGUACAUUCAUCUUGCGCAAGCAGUCUGGUUCAAUGUGUGCUUGCGUCAGCUUUGGCACAAUACGAAGCUGCUGGUUCUCCUCGGCUUUGUACAGCAACCGGUAGUGAUCGUAGGCAACUUCACAGUUUCCAGCCUAGAAAAACACAUGCAAAUGAAUUGCACGAUAUCCUGAAUUGCGCCCACAUGGCCUUGUUGCUCCCGGCACCAUCACUGACGACUGCUAUCACUACUGCAUUUUGCUUGAAAAGUUCGAGAACAGCCUCAAGCACAAGCCUGGCAAGGACAUCACCUGGUGCAGCUCCCUUGCUGGCGAAGCUGGCGAUUGGCUGUACCCAGUUACUGAAUAAAGGCACAUACAUGAACACAA